rnacentral:rRNA from 1 species
GGGGAAUAUUGGACAAUGGGGGGGACCCUGAUCCAGCCAUGCCGCGUGUGUGAAGAAGGCCUUUUGGUUGUAAAGCACUUUAAGCGAGGAGGAGGCUACUUAGAUUAAUACUCUAAGAUAGUGGACGUUACUCGCAGAAUAAGCACCGGCUAACUCUGUGCCAGCAGCCGCGGUAAUACAGAGGGUGCAAGCGUUAAUCGGAUUUACUGGGCGUAAAGCGUGCGUAGGCGGCUUUUUAAGUCGGAUGUGAAAUCCCUGAGCUUAACUUAGGAAUUGCAUUCGAUACUGGGAAGCUAGAGUAUGGGAGAGGAUGGUAGAAUUCCAGGUGUAGCGGUGAAAUGCGUAGAGAUCUGGAGGAAUACCGAUGGCGAAGGCAGCCAUCUGGCCUAAUACUGACGCUGAGGUACGAAAGCAUGGGGAGCAAAC